AUGGGAGGAGACGGGCAGACGGCGGCGGCGGCGUCCUCCUCGCCCAUCGGCGCGCAACACCUGUCAGAGCCCCGUCGGCUCCGUCGAUCUGCCAGACCUAGGUCGCCGGUGUGGCUGCUGUCUCAGGCGAGAAGAGGAGUGGUCGCGUUAAGACACGGGGAGGGGGAGCAGCCAACCGUGCUCAAGGCCGUCCGUGGCGGCUGCAAAUCGAGGCGGCGGCUACAAAUUGAAGGUCAGUGCACGGCGGCCCUCUCUCCUUCUCAUCCCCUCUCGCUCGAGAGAAAGUUGCGGACAUAUUGGCGGUGGCCUGUCCGCGGCGUCGUCCUCAGCCAGAGAAGGGGAGAGGAGGGAGAGGGAGAUGGUGAGUCCACGGAGAAGCGCCACCGGGAGCAGAUCCGGCCAUCGGCGGCAAGAAAGGCCACGCCCCCCUCUACCUCCGUACCGUCACCCAGGUUACUUGGAAAGUACUGGUCAAAUCAUGGAAGUCUCGAAGAAGAUACUAAAAGAGUAAAAAACUGUUUGAAUAUCGUGCUUGAAAGAUUUUCCCCAGUGAAUCAUGUAAUGGAGGACCAGUGCUUCAUCGAGUCCAUCCCGCCCCUUGGCACUGCCAUUGGCGUCUUCAACAACCUCGCUGAGUACGACGUAGCAUGCUUCGACUAUAUGAUCUGUACAAGAUCAACGCCUAAAAGGGUGUCUACAUCGCAGUUGAGUUGGAUACCUGAAGCUCGAGUAUGUUUAAGUUCUUUCCUGUGCAGUUUCUUACUGUUGCAG
rnacentral:rRNA from 1 species